UUUUGCCAUGUAUGGUGAUGGUGCCGCUAAUCAAGGGCAGUUGUUUGAGGCUUUGAAUAUGGCUGCUUUGUGGGAUCUUCCUGCUAUUCUAGUUUGUGAGAAUAAUCACUAUGGAAUGGGGACAGCAGAAUGGAGAGCUGCAAAGAGUCCAGCUUAUUA